rnacentral:rRNA from 1 species
AGUUUACUACACCGUAUCCUGUGAGUUGCGAACGGGUGAGUAACGCGUAGGUAACCUGCCUGGUAGCGGGGGAUAACUAUUGGAAACGAUAGCUAAUACCGCAUAAGAACAUUUACUGCAUGGUAGAUGUUUAAAAGGUGCAAGAGCAUCACUACCAGAUGGACCUGCGUUGUAUUAGCUAGUUGGUGAGGUAACGGCUCACCAAGGCAACGAUACAUAGCCGACCUGAGAGGGUGAUCGGCCACACUGGGACUGAGACACGGCCCAGACUCCUACGGGAGGCAGCAGUAGGGAAUCUUCGGCAAUGGGGGGAACCCUGACCGAGCAACGCCGCGUGAGUGAAGAAGGUUUUCGGAUCGUAAAGCUCUGUUGUUAAGGAAGAACGUGUGUGAGAGUGGAAAGUUCACACAGUGACGGUACUUAACCAGAAAGGGACGGCUAACUACGUGCCAGCAGCCGCGGUAAUACGUAGGUCCCGAGCGUUGUCCGGAUUUAUUGGGCGUAAAGCGAGCGCAGGCGGUUAGAUAAGUCUGAAGUGAAAGGCAGUGGCUCAACCAUUGUAGGCUUUGGAAACUGUUUAACUUGAGUGCAGAAGGGGAGAGUGGAAUUCCAUGUGUAGCGGUGAAAUGCGUAGAUAUAUGGAGGAACACCGGUGGCGAAAGCGGCUCUCUGGUCUGUAACUGACGCUG